rnacentral:tRNA from 1 species
GGGGCCAAGGUGUUGACGGGUGGCAUACUAGCUUUGCAAGCUUGGGGACUGGGUUCAAUUCCCAGUGGCUCCACCA